AUUGAACGCUGACGGCGUGCCUAACACAUGCAAGUCGAGCGGUAACAGGUGUAGCAAUACAUGCUGACGAGCGGCGAACGGGUGAGUAAUGCUUCGGAAUCUACCCAAUGGUGGGGAAUAACCAGCCGAAAGGUUGGCUAAUACCGCAUACGUCCCACGGGAGAAAGCAGGGGAUCGCAAGACCUUGCGCCAAUGGAUGAGCCGAAGUCGGAUUAGCUAGUUGGAGGGUAACGGCCUACCAAGGCGACGAUCCGUAGCUGGUCUGAGAGGACGACCAGCCACACUGGGACUGAGACACGGCCCAGACUCCUACGGGAGGCAGCAGUGGGGAAUAUUGGACAAUGGGGGAAACCCUGAUCCAGCGACGCCGCGUGUGUGAAGAAGGCCUGCGGGUUGUAAAGCACUUUUAGUGGGGAUGAAAUGUUCAGGGUUAACACCUCUGG
rnacentral:rRNA from 1 species